GGGCUGACUACUGCAGGGGAAGGACCUUUGCCUGAAGUGCCAGCUGAAGAGCUGCCACAGCCCUUGCCUGCAAGAGCCAGAGACUCUGCGAGCUGGAUUGGAGGUCUGCAGCCCAAGGAGCCCCAGAGGACCAUCCAUGCUGAGGAGCUUGGAGACCCUGAUGCCCCACAGAUAGCAGCUUCUGGAACUACGAUGGAGACCGAGAAGAUUUUGAAAUGGAUGCUGGAAAGUCAGCGGCAGCAGGCAACCCAGCAGCAGCAAUUAGCAGGCCCAGGAGAUAGCUUGUCAACACCAGCUCCAGAUGACCCAGCAGGAGCAGCAGCAGCUGCUUCGAGAGUUGGCUAUCCAGCACCAGAAUGCCUGAUCCAGCAAAUGGCUGCAUUAAUGUUCCCGACCGGUGCCCCAAACCCCAGCCCAGUUGGACAGGCCCCAUGGGCUCUUCCCCCAAGUCUGCCAAUACGGCUGUCGAAAAUGGGACUUAGUGAUGACUUUGAGGCAUUUUUGGUGACUUUCAAAUGGGUAGCUACCGCUGCCAGGUUGCCACCAGAGCACCGGGCUCCCCUGUUAGCACCCUACCUGACGGGGCCAGCCCAGGCGGCCUACCGGGGGCUAGACCCACAAGACACCCUAGUAUAUUAGAGAGUGAAGGCUACCAUCCUGGACCAUACAGGAAUCAACCCCAACACAUACCGAUGGCGCUUUCACCAAGAAAGGUACCCGCAGGGGGCUAGACCUCGGGUGGUAGCCCGGCAUCUGAGGGACAAUGCCUGGUGAUGGUUAGAGCCAGAGAAACAGUUGGGGGCUCAAGUAGCAGAGACCGUUGUAUUGGAGCAGUUUAUCCAGAUCCUCCUGAGUGGAGGGAAGGAGUGGGUACAGCGGCACCAGCUGAAGGCGCUGAUGGAAGCUGUAGAGCUGAUGGAGGACUCCUUGAUGGCUGAUGGGCGGGAGAUGCAACUGAGGCAACCCGGGAGUCCAAGGAGGAAGAAUAAACCUGGUGAGGGGAACUCUCGCGAAAUGGAUUCAGGGAGAUCAGACCCUCGAAUGCUGGAGCCCAAUCAGCUGAGCCUGGACUGACAAGGUAAAUGGUCCACAAGAAGGGCAGAGCCCACCGAAGACAGAUCCUGGGACUGGAGGAACCCAAGGCCAUUGCUGGGAGUGUGGCCAAGAGGGGCACUUUCGGCAGGACUGCAGUUAUGGGCAAGUCUGCAUGGCUGGCACCUGAGUCCAGAGGAAAGACCCAGAAAAACUUGUAGUCCCGGUGCAAGUAGAAGGAAUCCCCACAACAGCCUUAGUAGACUCAGGCAGGAGUCAGACAAUUAUUUGGGAGAGGCUCGUCUCCAGCCUUGAACUCUCCGGGACGAGUAUACAUCUACAGUGUAUUCACAGAGAUAUACAGCCUUACCCAACUGCCUGGGUAAGACUUGAGAUAUAUGGCCAGGGAGAAACUCUCCAAGUCAGCAUGGCUCCCAGGCUAGCCUACCCCAUGGUUAGGGCAAGACUGGCCAUAAUUUUGGGAAAUCCUGCAAGGCCACAGCCACCAACAUCUGGGAGGGGGAGGUGCAGGAUCAAUGAGGGGGGACUCCAUGGCCACCCUGCAGAAGCCGAUCCUGGAGAAGGGCUGUCUAAACCCCCAGAGCCGCCCACCGAGUCCCCUCCAGGCACAGGACACCCUGUCGAAGAUGCCCAGGCGGAGUUGGAGCGUGACAGAUUUCGUCCAAUAGCAAAGGGAAGAUCCAACUUUAAGCUGGGCCUGGGAGCAGGCAACCACCCCAGACCAAGAGGGGGACGAUACACCACACCCGCCUCAAGGACCACGGUUCGAGAUCCGGAGGGACCACCUCUACCGGGUGGUACAAGAACGCCAAAUGUAAGAAGUUAUCUGACAGCGCUUGGUGCCCUGGAGAUUGUGCCAGAGCCUCCUGCAGCUGGCUCACACAGUACCCUAGGCAGGGCACCUGGGUAGAGAGAAGACCCUCCAGAGGAUAGCACACCACUUUUUUUUGGCCUGGCAUACACCAGGAAGUAAGAGAUUAUUGCGCUUCCUGCCCUGAGUGCCAGUGGGCCGGACCGAAAGGAGUGCCCCUCUCGUACCUCUCCCCAUCAUAGGCAUGCCAUUUGAACGAGUUGGUAUGGAUCUCGUAGGGCAGGUAGAGAAGAGUGAAACAGGGAACCAGUUCAUCCUCGUACUGGUCAAUUAUGCAACAGGCUACCCUGAGGCUACCCCCUUCCACACGGCUACGGCCCCUAACAUCGCGACAGAACUAGUGAAGAUUUUCACUUCAGUUGGGAUAUCCAAAGAGAUCCUGACCAGUCAGGGCACUAAUGUGUCCUCCAAAUUGAUAGCUGACUUAUGCCACCUCAUGAACAUCCAGACUUCAGUGUACCACGCACAAACUGAUGUUAGUCGAAUGCUUUAAUGGAAUCCUUAAGUCAAUGCUCUGCAAGUUUGUAGAAGAUGACCCCUGACAUUCGGACUCGCUGUUGCCCGCCUUAUUGUUCGCAAUGCGGGAGGUCCCUCAAGCCUCCACUGGGUUCUCUCCCUUUGAGCUCCUCUAGGAGAGACAACCCCAGGGCAUCCUUAGUCUCCUGAGAGAAGACUGGGAGGCACAAGAGAUGUGCAUCUUAGGAACUACCCAUUAUGUGUUAUGACUCCGUGAGUGUCUCCAGGCCUUAGGCGCAUUUGCUCGAGAGAACUUGUUAUGGGCCCAGCAAACACAGGAGCAACAAUACAACAAAGGGGCUAGGUUACACGACUUUGAGCCAGGGGACCAGGUUCUACUAUUAUUGCCCUCCGCUGAGUCAAAGCUAUUAGCCAGGUGGCAAGGCCCCUUUGAGGUGUCCCACCGGGUAGGACAAGUGGACUACAAGAUCAGGCUGCUGGGUGGUGGAAGGAGAUAUGCACAUACCACGUGAACUUGCUGAAAGCCUGGAAGGACCAAGAGGCUCUAUUUAUCACUCCUUCACCUCCUGAACCGGAAUUGGGGCCAUUUGUGGGCAGACCCCUGGAUCCAGGGCCAGUGGUAAUGGGAGAGGGCCUUAGCCUGUCACAACAAGAAAAGUUACUGCGUCUCGUACAGGACUUCCAGGAUGGCUUGUCAACGCAUCCAGCACAGACUGACCUCCUAAGUCAUCACAUUGCAACAACACUGGGGCAGAGGGUAAGAGACAACCACUGACCUCUCCCCAGGAAAAUGUGGGACACAGUACGCCAAGAAUUAGAGAUGAUGCUUUAGAUGGGAGUGGUGGAGAAAUCCGGGAGCAAAUGGCGAAGUCUGAUCGCAUUGGUCCCAAAACCUAGGGGGGUCAUCGACUUCUGCAUUGAUUUUCGAAAAGUCAGUGCUAUUUCCCAAUUCGAUGUGUAUCCAAUGCCUCUCAUCGAAGAACUCUUCGGGCAAUUAGGGGGAGCCAAAUAUUUGACCUUGGAUCUAACAAAGGGAUAUUGGCAGAUACCCCUAACAUCUAACUCCCAGGCGAAGACUGCCUUUCCUAUUCCAUAUGGCCUCUUCCACUUCAUAACAAUGCCUUUUGGACUACAUGGGGCAGCCGCUACCUUCCAACAAUUGAUGAACUGAGUACUGCAGCCUCACAACCAAUAGGUGGCGGCAUACAUAGAUGACAUUGAUCUAUAGCAGCAGCUGGGAGGACCACCUUUGACACCUAACCAGUGUUUUCAAGGCCCUUCGGGAAGCAGAUCUCAAGGCCAACCCCGCAAAAUGCCAUCUCAGACAGGCAGAGGUGACCUACUGUGGGUAUAUAGUGGGAGGGGACAAACUACGCCCUCUGACAAGGUGAAGGCUCUAACUGAUACCCCAACACCAACCACGAAAAAGCAAGUGCACCAAUUCCUGGGAUUGGCCAGAUACUAUUGGUGCUUUGUACCAGGCUUCACAACAAUAGCCGCCCCCGCACUCUGACCUGACCAAGAACUCUCAACCCCGACAAGUGCGGUGGUCCAGUAAGUGUGAGGAGGCAUUCCAGACCCUGAAGAAACGGCUAGCUCAGGAACCAGUCCUUGUAUAUCCAGACUUCUCAAAGGACUUCCUACUGCAAACAGAUGCCUCUGAGGUGGGAUUAGGGGCUCUCUUGCCUCAGGAAAUCAAUGAGGAAGAACACCCCGUCUUGUAUCUGAGUCAUAAGCUGUUCCCCAGAGAAACAUAUUACUCAAUGAUCAAGAAGGAGGCCUUGGUGAUAAAGUGGGCUAUUGACACCCUGUGCUCCUAUCUACUCGGCAACACCUUCACAUUGAUUACUGACCAAGCACCCCUCUGGUGGCUGCACAGCAUGAAGGAUACCAACCCCAGGAUUAUUCAUUGCUACCUCUCACUCCAGUCAUAUGAUUUCUGUGUCUGUCAUCAACCUGGUAAGGCUCACACGGGGGCAGGGGGAUGAAUGACAGGGUGUGCUUACCCCGCACUGGAGAGGAAAGGGUUAACCCCACACUAUAGGCAGUGGAAGUCUUGCCCCUCAGGCAGUGCUGGGCAUGUGCCAACUGCUGCCUCAGUAUAAAAGGGAGCAGCCCAGAUCAUUCUGGGCUGACUGCUGGAGGGGAAGGACCUUUGGCCGGAGCUCCUGCUGGAGAGCCGCCACAGGUCUUGCCUGCAAGAGCCAGAGGCCCUGUGAGCCGGAUUGGAGGCCUGGAGUCCAAGGAGCCCCAGAGGACCAUCCACACUGAGGAGUUUAGAGACCCUGACACCCCAAAGACAGCAGCUUCUGGAACUACAGUAGGAAGUGACUCAGGGAGGGUGAGCAAGUGGUAUCUCCCACCCGAGUGAGGUCUGUGUUUCAGUGGGAUUCCCUGCUGACCCAGUGAUGGACUGCUCCAUCACUGUUAGGGCCCUAGGUAGUGACCCUGUGGAGUUGGGUGGGACUGGGCCCCCCUACUCAGGCUGUCACCCCCCUUGUGGCAGCCCCUACCUUCCCCCACCAUAUUGACUCUAGCCAUUAAACUGUAACCUUGGCCUCUGGGCUAUACUGCAGCUGCCCCAAGGGAGACUAACCACAGUGAUAUCACUGCCCUGCCCCAAAGGGAGAUGGGGUGUGCAUACACUGUGACACCUGCCACAGUAGCAGUGUGGGGCUGAAGUAAGCGGCCCUAUGCUGACCUCUUUGCAACCACUGGUAUACUGGGUGGGAGAGGGAGUAGCUGCAGAGCUCAGUGCUAUGGAGAGUUUGGGCUGCAGAUAUUAUGGGAUCAACUGCCAUAAGUUAGGGCAUCCUUUGGGGCUGCUCUAACUUACACUAGAGAACAUUUUGGUCUCUGUGGCAGCCCAGAAUCUUGGUAGUGCACCGAUGUCAUAAAGCCACCCACCGCCACCAUUGGGCUGGUCCUUCUGGCCCUCAGAAUCUGCUGUCUGCAGCUGCAGGCAGCCAUUUGGGGAGAUAGAGUUCCAUGUAGAUAGCUCCUGCAUAGGUACACACCAGGCACUCACUAAUGGAGAUCUUACUUUUAUUUUUUUUAGUUUUGUAGUUCUCUUGAUAUAUAUAAUGUUGCACUUAGAAAAACAUAAUAAGACUAACUCUGCCCAGGAAACACUACAGCAACUUUCUUAUCAGCCCCCCUCUACUCUUUCCUCUAGUAACCCUAUCUGAUCUGUUAAGGCUUCUGAUAGCCACUCCAUUCUUUAUGUAAAAUCCCUCCUCAUUUGCCAUCACCAAGAAUAGAAUCUGUGAUUUCUAGCACCAAAAGUAUGGGUCUGUACUUCUUGAGUUAAAAAAGUAACUCCAUUAUCUGGUACCAGUAGUAGGCUUAAGAUUGUUUCAGUUGGACAAGAGGUGACAUCAUUUCAUUGGUGGGUAUAAAAACAAGUGGAGAGUCAAGCCAUUCACCAAUGGAUCUACUACUAAUUUACACAGCUGUAAGUUAGAGCUGAAUCAGGCCUUCCAUAAUUUUCUUGUUUUGCCUUUGGCAGGAUGGUUAUGGAUACAUGCAGUUGAACAGGCUUCCGUGUCCUUACAGUUAAACAGACAUACUAGAAAUCCCCCCUCCCCCAUUUAGAAGAGUAGAGUCUUCUGUAGUAGUUCUUCUCUGUUCCAGAAAUUACAGUGAAUGUGUAAAGUAAUAGCAGUAAAUAAAAGUAAAGACAUCUUUCAUAUUUGUUCAUAA